UACGGGAGGCAGCAGUGAGGAAUAUUGGUCAAUGGGCGCGAGCCUGAACCAGCCAAGUAGCGUGCAGGAUGACGGCCCUAUGGGUUGUAAACUGCCUUUAUGCGGGGAUAAAGUUCACUACGUGUAGUGUUUUGUAGGUACCGCAUGAAUAAGGACCGGCUAAUUCCGUGCCAGCAGCCGCGGUAAU
rnacentral:rRNA from 1 species